CCUACGGGGAGCAGCAGUGAGGAAUAUUGGUCAAUGGCCGGAAGGCUGAACCAGCCAUGCCGCGUGAAGGUCAGUGCCCUAUGGGCGUUAAACUUCUUUUGUGCGGGAGCAAUAAUGGUCACGUGUGGCCAGACGAGAGUACCGUACGAAUAAGCAUCGGCUAACUCCGUGCCAGCAGCCGCGGUAAUACGGGGGAUGCAAGCGUUAUCCGGAUUUAUUGGGUUUAAAGGGUGCGUAGGCUGUGAGGUAAGUCAGCGGUGAAAUGCCCCCGCUCAACGGGGUGAAGUGCCAUUGAUACUGCCUGGCUGGAAUGCGGAUGCCGUGGGAGGAAUGUGUGGUGUAGCGGUGAAAUGCAUAGAUAUCACACAGAACACCGAUUGCGAAGGCAUCUCACGAAUCCGCGAUUGACGCUGAUGUACGAAAGCGUGGGUAUCAAACAGGAUUAGAUACCCCUGUAGUC
rnacentral:rRNA from 1 species